rnacentral:sRNA from 1 species
GAUCCUAGAUUGGUCGUGUCUCCUAGGUGCAUGGCUAAAAGCAAAUGUAAGCCCUCUUUGGGGAAAGUCGUUGUCAUUCGUUCCCAUAGUUUUUUAGUGACAAUAGUACACACCCAAAAGUAACAAAGCACACAAGGAAAUAGGGCACUGUGUGCAAGAACAAGCUGAAACGACAGACAGCAGGAGCAGCCCCGUAAAUAUUUCAUAGACUGGAAUUAUCGGAUACAAAUUUUUAAAAAUCAGAGAACUUCCCGGAACUUGCACAGUCACUAUCAUGAGGCCCCCAUGACCCGGAAGCACUAUCAGGUCACCGGCUAUGGCAUAAAUGGAACAGGGGACUCAAAUGAUUUCUGGCGGAUUGAGGUCGUAAACAGAAAAUUUGGAAACCGGAUCAAAGUGCUGAGAAGUCGAAUUCGCUUCAUCCAUUUGGUCACAGGUUGUGUCCUGGGCUCCUCGGGAAAGGUUCUGCCCAAGUGGGGCUGGGAGCAGUUGGAAGUUACUUGCACCCCAUACCUGAAAGAAACCCUCAACUCCAUCUGGAAUGUGGAG